GAUUAACGCUAGCGGCAGGCAUAAUACAUGCAAGUUGAACGGCAGCACAGGUAGCAAUACUGGGUGGCGAGUGGCGCACGGGUGCGUAACACGUAUGCAACCUACCCUAUACAGGCGAAUAACCUUUAGAAAUGAGGGCUAAUACGCCGUAGUAUUACAGAUGGGCAUCUAUUUGUAAUUAAAGAUUUAUCGGUAUAGGAUGGGCAUGCGUCCCAUUAGUUAGUUGGUAAGGUAACGGCUUACCAAGACGAUGAUGGGUAGGGGAUCUGAGAGGACUUACCCCCACACUGGUACUGAGACACGGACCAGACUCCUACGGGAGGCAGCAGUAAGGAAUAUUGGGCAAUGGCCGCGAGGCUGACCCAGCCAUGCCGCGUGCAGGAAGACGGCCUUAUGGGUUGUAAACUGCUUUUAUACGGGUAUAAUAGAGUGUACGCGUACAUUUAUGCAAGUAUCGUAUGAAUAAGCAUCGGCUAACUCCGUG
rnacentral:rRNA from 1 species